GACGAACGCUGGCGGCGUGCCUAAUACAUGCAAGUCGAACGCUUCUUUCCUCCCGAGUGCUUGCACUCAAUUGGAAAGAGGAGUGGCGGACGGGUGAGUAACACGUGGGUAACCUACCCAUCAGAGGGGGAUAACACUUGGAAACAGGUGCUAAUACCGCAUAACAGUUUAUGCCGCAUGGCAUAAGAGUGAAAGGCGCUUUCGGGUGUCGCUGAUGGAUGGACCCGCGGUGCAUUAGCUAGUUGGUGAGGUAACGGCUCACCAAGGCCACGAUGCAUAGCCGACCUGAGGGGGUGAUCGGCCACACUGGGACUGAGACACGGCCCAGACUCCUACGGGAGGCAGCAGUAGGGAAUCUUCGGCAAUGGACGAAAGUCUGACCGAGCAACGCCGCGUGAGUGAAGAAGGUUUUCGGAUCGUAAAACUCUGUUGUUAGAGAAGAACAAGGACGUUAGUAACUGAACGUCCCCUGACGGUAUCUAACCAGAAAGCCACGGCUAACUACGUG
rnacentral:rRNA from 1 species